ACCCUCUAGUUACAUUACCCAUAAGAUUUAAACACUGGCCUGAGUAGUUACAGUGGAGGGAAAUAACAUUGACACUGACUUCAAUGCUUUUGUGGCAUAUGGGCUAGUUUCAAACAAAA
rnacentral:snoRNA from 1 species